CAGUCUCUUUCGUGCCAUCUACCUUCGAAGGAAGGAACACUUUUAGAGUUACAAUGAUGAGGAGAGGAGCGGGACAAUACUCAAUCCUAUACCAAGUCGAUUGAGAUUAGUUUCCUACUGGGAGUAAGUGCCUGGCCCUGCUACUCCUAUUUGAAUGCUAUUAAUAUUACCUAGCCUUUUACAAAGGAUACUUUGUAAAUGUCUGCUGUUGGAACUUGAUGUUAAUCCAUUUUGGUCAUAGCCAUAUUAGAGAGAUUUGCACAGAAUGUAAAGGCAAAAGCAUAGGAAACACCUUCCUUUCUAAAGCAACAGCCUUAUCACCUUGACCUCUGUCCCUCUUCAGAACAUUCUUCCCUGGAACCAGUGCUCCACAUCUUUCUUUUCCUCUGAGAGCUGCAGCUGGCAGGGACCUCCCUCUGCUGCUCCUCCAGCAAGCCACAGAGCAUACCCUCACGUGACAAGAGUGUGGUAGGUUUUCUCCCCACUUUUCACACACGCCUGGUGGUUGUGGUUCCAUCUGCCUUGUUGGCUUGCCCGGGGGGAUUCAACACUUGACUUUCAAAUCAAAGAAUGCUAAUGCUUAGCACUUGCUGUUGAGCAUGCUCUAACUUUUAAAGCCCUGGCCUCCUGUCUCCUUAGCUGCUUAGCUACGCGGCCUAGCAGAUCAUCACCCAUCAGUAAUCCUGUGGCUAGAUCCAGGGGAAAAUUGCUUAUGUCCAGGCCCCACCCCUGUCACUCAUAAAUACCCCUUGUGGGGGUGGAAUUUUAGUGUUUUCAGCUAAGAAAACCACAUUUUCUCUUUCCUUGCCUCUGCUAGGACUGUGAGCAUCUCAUAGUCCACUCCCUAAACACUUUCUGGUAACACCUAGUUUUCCGCCUGAGGGUCAGAGGCUAGAAUCAUUGCCUGCACAGCAGGACUACCUUGGUUCUUAAAACUUGGAUCACCCAGGCAAGGCGUGGUGGCUCACGCCUGUCAUCUCAGCACUUUGGGAGACUGAGGCUGGUGGAUCACUUGAGGCCACGAGUUUGAGACCAGCCUGACCAACGUGGUGAAACCCCAUCUCUACUAAAAAUACAAAAAUUAGCCAGGCGUGGUGGUGGGCACCUGUAAUCCCAGCUACUUGGGAGGCUGAGGCAGGAGAAUCCCUUGAACCCAGGAGGCGGAGGUUGCAGUGAGCAGAGAUGGUGCCGCUGCAGUCCAGCCUGGGUGACAGAGCGAGACUCUGUCUCCAAAACAAAACAAAAACCACACACACAUACAGAAAUAAAGAGAAAUAAUCAACUAGAAAAAAAACAAAACUUGGAUCACCCAGAAAGAGCGUCACAGAGGCGAGGGAGAAUGAAGCCUCUUGUUAUCCUGAUCGCCUAUGACAACGACAUUUCUAACUCUUCUUUGAAGCGCAGUUCUUACUCUUAAAUCUGGUCAUACAAGCUUUGGCUUGGAAUCCUGUCUGUCUUUGAAACAGCUGAAGUUAGUGUUUUCCUGUGUUACCCAGUGUUACAUAGUCUCAUCUUUGAACUUUUCUGCGUCAGCCUUCUCUCUUUGGGAAUGCUGCCUGUUUCUGUCUAACUUAUUCUCCCUGGUGUGGUGUGGCAGUGAAGUCUGUGCUGAAGCCCAUCUGCUUGGUUCCUCCAAGUGCACAUUAUGCAAGUGUAUUUGGAUAGACAGGGAGAUGCCCGGAACGUGGUUUUCCUCCUCCCUCCCUAUUGGAGCCAUACCUCCUAAAUAUAUUGUCUGGGUCCCAAAUGUUUGAGCCCUCUUCCUCUGCUCUCAGUGGGCUGCUCUUGGCAUGCCCUGUGCUUGGAACGGGACCUGCAGGCUGACAGGCCUCUGAGACUGCUAGGGCCAGCAAACGUACAUGUUAUUGGGAAACUCCCUUUCCCCUUUUGGUGAGCUUCUACCACCUCAGUCUAAUCGUUUUGACUGAAAGCUAUUUGUCUGACUGAAAGCUAAAAUCUUUUAUAGUGUGGCCUGUUAGAUACUUUGGGGUAAAUGUGGUCUGAGGUGCUGGACUAGCACGGGUAGAUGGAGAAAGCUGUUGGGAAGUUGCAUAAUGUGGUCAUCUGUGCCUAAUUAAAUGAGGUUAGAGGUGUGCACACCACCACAAUGCCUGGGAUCUAAAUCUUCAGAUAUUAACGUUUGAGGCUAUGGAGCUGUUUCCCUGAAUCACACACGAGAAAGCAGUCAACAUGGGUGGGCCAAAUGUGGCCAAGAUGAGAGAGCCAGAAGUGUUGGCCUUAGAGCAGAGCCUCUGUGUGUGAGACAUUAGAAGGCCAGAGCCGGGGAGGUGCCGGCGCAGCCACUGCCUUCCGGUGGGCCGGACGGAAAGCUUGGUCUUAUGCUAGAUUCAGAAGCACUGAAGAAUGGAGGUUGACACUUUAGAGGACUAGGAAGGGAUCAUUUGUGCUCUUGCAGCUAUUGCUGAUAGCUAGAGCCAAAGACCAUUAUAUUGCUGAGGCUUGGGUAAGAAAGUUAGGGAUGUGAGGAGGUUGAAAAUCCUGAAGAAGAGAAAAAAUAUGAGGGAGGCUAAGGAAACUUAGCCACUUUCUGAUCACUGAUGACUCCUUAGGCUGCACCUGAGUGAUGGUGGUGUUUUUGGAGGCUGUACCUGAGUGAUGGUGGUUUUUGGGGGGCUGCACCUGAGCGAUAGUGAUUUUUUUUUGGAGGCUGCACAGCUGGUCAGACCAUCUCUAGAUGUUCUUUCCACAGUGGUUCAUAGGGCGUCAUUCCCCCUUCCUGGAUUAUUUUGACUAUGGGUAGCUUAUUUUCAAGAGCUCUUUGCCUUUUUAAUCCUGUUCCAGAUCACUUAUCCAAAAUCUUUCCAAAUCAAUUAUAUUUUGCUGCUUUUCUUUAAUUCCCUAAAAGCCAUAGCUUCUAGAUUUUCUAUCAGCACACAUUCUCACCAGAAGUUGAACCAAUACAGGUAGAAAAAGAAAGCCCCCUUAAUGUUUUUAACUGAUGAUAUUUUUUUAAGCUUACCAAUAUAAGUAUUUUUAAAGGUUCUAUUUUUCAAAGUCAUAACAAUGAUUGUUCUUGUUUUCUCUCAUAGAAUAGACUGCCAUCGGAUAAAGAGUGGUCCCUAGCUUCUAUUUUUCCAAGUAAAUAAGUAGAACAUGUUCUUGGGAUUAUACCAUUAAAUGUUAAUUUUCUUGAAGAAGAAAGAUUGUUGUCUGCCAAGAUUUUAUGUUAGCGCUCGGAUUGAGGCAGAAAACGGAAGCACCAGGUUUAACACUGGGAUGACUUGGGUUGUGUUCCUGGAGGUUUGAAGUGGGCCUUCCCGCCUUUUGAGGGGGAAAACUGACUGUUUUGAACACAUAUCCUGGAUUAGUUGGGUUGUUUUGUAUUGAGGAUCCCUAAAAGACAAAAGAGUCUUGGAAAGGACUGCUGGCUUCGUCUUGAACGUUCGCCCCAUCACCAGUGUGAGUCCGUGGGGAAGUCUUCCUCAAGUGGGGUUCAGUCUGUAAUUUUCCUGUCUGUUCUUAGUUUGUUCUGAGUUAUUUUGGAUUUUGUUCUUUAGCCAAAUAAAGGCAGUGUGGUUUUACCUG
rnacentral:lncRNA from 1 species